GUAAAUAAUUUAUUAUCAAAAAAAUAUUCGUUACAUUUUUCCAAUGUUACCCACCACCCUGUGCAUUGUUAGUCAAAUUGAUAAAAGCUUGUAUAAUUAGGUAUAACUUGUAAAAAUAUUGUAUAAAAUACUCUGUAUAAAUACUUUUAGUAAAAACAUUCUGUAAAAAAUUAUACGUGUCUAGAACAGAAUCAUAAAUAAAAACUUAAAACUAGAUAUAGUAUUGUAUUGUCUUUUUCGAUUACAUUAAAAAUUAAAAUAAUACUUGUUUAUACAACUUAACGUUACCUAAUAAGCAUUUUAUUGAGAUACAUUUAAACUCUAUUUUCGAGUCAAGAAACUCGUGAAAAUAUAAAAUGAAAAAAAAAAAAAAAAUUAACAUGGAAUGUUGCAAGGAAAUCAGUAAGUAUAAAAUUAAAAUAAAGAUCCACAGUUUGAGAUUAUGCGUAGUAUAGUAAUUAGUAUGAUUUAAGAUAUAAUUCUUGCUAUUCGCGACUUCAAAACAUGGCGCGUAGACAACGACCAAUAGAGGACGGACGCGCGCUAUGAUUGACUGACAUAUUUUCGAACCGUUCAAAAAAUAAGUUUUCUACGCAGGUACAUCGACGUAAUUUAUAAAAGUGGCACUGCUAGUCCUACUAAAUGUAGGACUAGGAUAUCUCAGCCAAUCAUAGCGCGCGUUCGUGCGCUAUUGCUUGUUGCCUACACGCCAUGUUUUGUCCGCGCGAAUUAUGAGUACCUGUUGUUGUCAAGCAAUAAGGUCUGUAUUUCAUUGGUUUUAGUCAGCGUUAGGUUGCGCUUUUCUGCGCAAACGAAUUUUGUUGAUGCGACUUACAAAAGUGGUAGUACUGUUUACAGCGCUAUUUCAAACGUGCGAACUAAGUCAUAAAUCAUUUUUAUCGGACCUCUACUGAACCUGAUUUUCUGGGGUAACAGUAAAAAAAGGAUAGUCUAAAACAGGUUAUAAAGAGUGAGGAAGCCCCAGCUCCCUGCAUCCGAACGGCAUCCCUUUAUCGAUAGCAACUUCUGCAGCAUUCUCACAACCCCAUGAUCGUAGUGAUCUAUUAC